rnacentral:rRNA from 1 species
GAUGAACGCUAGCUACAGGCUUAACACAUGCAAGUCGAGGGGAAACGAUAGAGAAAGCUUGCUUUUUCUAGGCGUCGACCGGCGCACGGGUGAGUAACGCGUAUCCAACCUGCCCACCACUUGGGGAUAACCUUGCGAAAGUAAGACUAAUACCCAAUGACGUCUCUAGAAGACAUCUGAAAGGGAUUAAAGAUUUAUCGGUGAUGGAUGGGGAUGCGUCUGAUUAGCUUGUUGGCGGGUAACGGCCCACCAAGGCGACGAUCAGUAGGGGUUCUGAGAGGAAGGUCCCCCACAUUGGAACUGAGACACGGUCCAAACUCCUACGGGAGGCAGCAGUGAGGAAUAUUGGUCAAUGGGCGAGAGCCUGAACCAGCCAAGUAGCGUGCAGGAUGACGGCCCUAUGGGUUGUAAACUGCUUUUAUAAGGGAAUAAAGUGAGCCUCGUGAGGCUUUUUGCAUGUACCUUAUGAAUAAGGACCGGCUAAUUCCGUG